AGUCAACCUACGAUCCCCCGUUUUAACCCCAAAAAGGGGUAGAUUUCUAAAUAUUCAUUAUUUGGUCAUCUUUUCAGCAUCUAUAGAGCUUACACUUUAAAUUUUAAGUCUCUUACUUCAAAAACAUAGGACUUUCAUACAAACUUCCAACCCCCGUUUUACCCCCUGAGGGAUCGAUUUCGUAAAAUUCAUUCUUAGCGGUAGUUUACGCUGUAUAAGGAACCUCCCUGCU
rnacentral:misc_RNA from 1 species